AGGAACCAAGCAGCAUCAGCCCUCCACCGUCGCAUGCCCAUCGGACCCCAUUUCCUCCUCUGUUUUCCCCUCGUUCCAGUUUCUGCUCCAGCCGACCUUUCGCCAAAGAUCCGAGUAAAAAGUUAACUUCCCGGUUGAAUCAGAGAACGAGCCACCCAUCACCGUGAAGAAGACAUCCAGCCCGUACCGGAACACCUCGCCGCUUUCCGGAACGAUUCUUCGGUCGUCCCGAAAUCCGCAAGAUCCCCUUGACCCCCGGGAGCCGCUGGUUGCCAACCACCCGCUCGCCGGAGCUCCGAUCAUCCCGUUUUCGCCGUUGAAGUUGCUGGUUUCUUCUCUGCAGUUCAGUCCAGAUCAGAAGCAGAAGACAGCAAGGUUUUGGAGACUUCGUGGCCCAUUUUCAAGCCCUUCCCAGCCUCCGUUGGUGUCGCCGCUUUGGGGUUUAUCGACCGCCUUGGUGUCGUGGUCGCCGUGAACUCACCGGCGCGCAAAACCGGUCCCUAGAUGGCGGAUCCUCCGGAGCUUUUUGGUAGACCAGUGAGGGUCGCUGAGAGGAUUUUUGACUUCGCCGAUCUCGACUGAAGAGCUGGCGAAUGGACCUGUCUAGCUGAUCUUAGGACAGCUUAGUUUUUGAGGACUGAUCUUCUAUAGAUCUUUUGUAAAUAGCCUAGUCUUGUAAAUGAACUGGUUUGAUAUGUAUAAAAAG